CUGUGCUUGGGCCGGGCUGGGCGGGUCGGCGUUGUCGUUGAGCGCGGUGACGCUGUUCCAACCCGCGGUGUAGG
rnacentral:tRNA from 1 species